UACGUAGGGUGCAAGCGUUGUCCGGAAUUAUUGGGCGUAAAGAGCUCGUAGGCGGUCUGUCGCGUCGGAUGUGAAAACCCAGGGCUCAACCCUGGGCCUGCAUUCGAUACGGGCAGACUAGAGUUCGGUAGGGGAGACUGGAAUUCCCAGUGUAGCGGUGAAAUGCGUAGAUAUUGGGAAGAACACCAGCGGCGAAAGCGCUCUACUGGGCCGCAACUGACACUCAUGGACGAAAGCUAGGGGAGCGAAAGGG
rnacentral:rRNA from 1 species